rnacentral:rRNA from 1 species
CAGCAGCCGCGGUAAUUCCAGCUCCAAUAGCGUAUAUUAAUGUUGUUGUGGUUAAAAAGCUCGUAGUUGGAUUUCAGCGAGUAUUGGCCGGUUCGGAUUGCUCCGACACUGGUUAGAUUACUCGUGUAUUUUGCCAGAAUUUGCUGGGUGAUCUUAAUCGAUUGUCUAGUAGAGCUGGCAGGUUUACUUUGAAAAAAUUAGAGUGCUCAAAGCAAGCUAUGUCUGCUUGAAUAUUCGUGCAUGGAAUAAUAGAAUAGGAAGUCGUUUCUAUUUUGUUGGUUUUCGGAAAUCGACUUAAUGAUUAAUAGGGACGGUCGGGGGCAUUUGUAUUCAAACGACAGAGGUGAAAUUCUUGGACCGUUUGAAGACAAACUACUGCGAAAGCAUCUGCCAAGCAUGUUUUCAUUAAUCAAGAACGAAAGUUAGAGGUUCGAAGGCGAUUAGAUACCGCCCUAGUUCUAACCAUAAACGAUGCCAGCUAGCGAUCUGACGGCGUUUAAUUUUCUGACUUGUCAGGGAGCUUCCGGGAAACCAAAGCGUUUGGGUUCCAGGGGAAGUAUGGUUGCAAAGCUGAAACUUAAAGGAAUUGACGGAAGGGCACCACCAGGGGUGGAGCCUGUGGCUUAAUUUGACUCAACACGGG